rnacentral:misc_RNA from 1 species
AAGCCAAAAUUCAAACAAGUUUUGAAUUAGUCCUCUGACUCCUAUAAACCGAAAUAAGCAUGCACACAGGUUCAUAUUCAAUCACAUCACAAGAAUGAUCAAAAGCACGAUUGUAUCAUGUGACACAGCAUGGGUUAUAAUUUCACUUUCCAAAAGUACAAAUGUCUCAUGUGACAUAGCAUGGGUUACAAUUUCACUUUCUCAUAUAUUAACUCACCCUCUCUCUUAUUGUGCACUACAAUU